rnacentral:rRNA from 2 species
UCCACCAUCCCCAUGUGUAAGAGCCCUUUUUUUCAAGCUCUUUUAAGCGAGGAGGAGGCCAACUGGAUUAUACUUUAAGAUAGUGGACUUACUCCCAAUAAAAGCCCCGGCUAUCUCUGCCCCAGCAGCCGGGGUAAUACAGAAGGCGCGAGCGUUACUCAGAUUUACUGCCAUAAAGCGAGGUAGGCCGCUUUUAAAGUCGGAUGUGAACUCCCUGAGCUUAACAUAGAAAUCGCACUCGACACUGGGACUCUAGAGUAUGAGAGAGGAUGGUAGAAUUCCAUGUGUAGCGGUGAAAUGCGGAGAGAUCUGGAGGAACAGCGAUGGAGAACGCAGCUCUCUGGCCUGAUACUGACGCUGAGGUACGAAAGCGUGGGGAGCAAACAGG